AGUGAACGCUGGCGGUAGGCCUAACACAUGCAAGUCGAACGGCAGCACAGUAAGAGCUUGCUCUUACGGGUGGCGAGUGGCGGACGGGUGAGGAAUACAUCGGAAUCUACUUUUUCGUGGGGGAUAACGUAGGGAAACUUACGCUAAUACCGCAUACGACCUACGGGUGAAAGCAGGGGAUCUUCGGACCUUGCGCGAUUGAAUGAGCCGAUGUCGGAUUAGCUAGUUGGCGGGGUAAAGGCCCACCAAGGCGACGAUCCGUAGCUGGUCUGAGAGGAUGUACAGCCACAGUGGAACUGAGACACGGCCCAGGCCCCGACGGGAGGCACCGGGGGGGAAUGUUGGAAAAUGGGCGGAAGCCUGACCCAGCCAUGCCGGGGGGGUGAAGAAGCCCUGCGGGUUGUAAACCCCUUUUGUUGGGAAAAAAAAGCAGCGGGUGAAUACCCCGCUGUUUUAAGGGUACCCAAAAAAAAAACCCCGGCAAACUUGGG
rnacentral:rRNA from 1 species